rnacentral:rRNA from 1 species
UACGGAGGGUGCAAGCGUUAUCCGGAAUUACUGGGCGUAAAGGGUGCGCAGGCGGUUAUAUAAGACAGAUGUGAAAUCCCCGGGCUCAACCUGGGAACUGCGUUUGUGACUGUAUGACUAGAGUACGGUAGAGAGGGGUGGAAUUCCUGGUGUAGCAGUGAAAUGCGUAGAUAUCAGGAGGAACAUCGAUGGCGAAGGCAGCCCCUUGGACCUGUACUGACGCUCAUGCACGAAAGCGUGGGGAGCAAACAGG